GGGGAUUAGCUCAGCUGGCUAGAGCGCCUGCCUUGCACGCAGGAGGUCAUCGGUUCGACUCC
rnacentral:ncRNA from 12 species